GACGAACGCUGGCGGCGUGCUUAACACAUGCAAGUCGAACGGAAAGGCCCUGCUUGCAGGGUGCUCGAGUGGCGAACGGGUGAGUAACACGUGGGUGAUCUGCCCCUUACUUUGGGAUAAGCCUGGGAAACUGGGUCUAAUACUGCAUAGGACCAUGCUGUAGGCGGUGUGGUGGAAAGAUUAGUUUCGGUAAGGGAUGAGCUCGCGGCCUAUCAGCUUGUUGGUGGGGUAAUGGCCUACCAAGGCGUCGACGGGUAGCCGGCCUGAGAGGGUGGACGGCCACAUUGGGAGGGAGAUACGGCGCAGACUCCUACGGGGGGCAGCAGUGGGGAAUAUUGCACAAUGGGGGCAAGCCUGAUGCAGCGACGCCGCGUGGGGGAUGACGGCCUUCGGGUUGUAAACUCCUUUCAGCCAUGACGAAGCCCUUGUGGUGACGGUAGUGGUAGAAGAAGCACCGGCUAACUACGUG
rnacentral:rRNA from 1 species